CGGGUGCUAACUGUGGGAUAACAGUAGCUCAUUUCCCUUGUUCUAAGUGGUAUUUUGUCUUCUGUGUCAAAAGCAGCUACUCAAACUCUAGUUUGCAGUACAGCAUUACACAUUGAUUGCCCAGAGGCUUCCAUCUCUGAAGCCAAAGAGAGUUGCUAUGGGAAUCAAGAGGGCACUUGGAGACAGGAUCUGGGGCUUGGCUCUCUCCCGUCCAUGGCUGCUGGAGUCGGAGGAAUGAAAAACUGAAAGGAGGUGGCAGAGAGGCACAGGAAAAGGCAUGCACGGCAGAGGAGGGACUGUCGUAGCUUUUUACUGUGGCAUGGAGAAGAGCAAAGAGACUAAUGUAUCAGGCAGUGGUAGCUCUCCUUAGGUUGGACCUUAUUUCUGGUGCAGGACCUUAUUUCUGGUGCAGAGUUCAUAGAGCAAAACUAAAGUGGAAGUCUGACUGUAGCCGGUCUGCAGAAAGAUGGGAUCCAGCUCAUCAACAUACCGGCCCAAAUGUGUGUAUUUGGAUAUUGAUGGACGAAUCCAAAAGGUGGCCUUCAGUAAAUACUGUAACUCGAGGGAUAUUAUGGACCUCUUCUGCAUUGCAACUGGUUUACCAAGAAAUACCACCAUUUCACUUUUCACAGCAGAUGACUGCAUGGUAUCCAUUGAUCCAACCAUGCCAGCAAACUCAGAAAGUACACCAUACAAAGUAAUACCUGUGGCAACUCAGCAACAAAUAGAAAAAGAGGAACUGUUCCAGAAUUUGCUGGCACAGGUGGUUGAACAAUUCUCAAGGGUAUUUAAAAUCAAUGAACUGAAAACUGAAGUAGCUAAUCACUUGGCAAUGCUGGAGAAAAGAGUUGAAUUGGAAGGAUUGAAGGUAGUGGAGAUUGAAAAGUGCAAGAGUGACAUUAAAAAGAUGAGGGAUGAAAUGGCAGCGAGAAGCACCAGGACCAACUGUCCCUGUAAAUACAGCUUUUUGGAUGAAAACAAGAAACUGAUGCCCCGAAGGGAUGUGCCAUCUUACCCCAAGUACAUGCUUUCUCAGGAGACAAUAGAAGCUCUUAGGAAACCCACCUUUGAUGUCUGGCUAUGGGAGCCCAAUGAGAUGCUGAGCUGCCUAGAACAUAUGUAUCAUGAUUUAGGAUUAGUUAAAGACUUUAACAUCAACCCCAUCACACUGAAACGAUGGCUGCUGUGUAUUCAUGACAAUUACAGAAACAAUCCAUUCCACAAUUUUCGACAUUGCUUCUGUGUUACCCAGAUGAUGUAUAGCAUGAUCUCACUCUGCAAUCUCAAGGUAAAGAUUUCACAAAUGGAUAUUCUAAUGCUUAUGACUGCAUCUGUAUGCCAUGAUUUGGAUCACCCAGGAUAUAAUAACACGUACCAGAUUAAUGCACGGACAGAGCUUGCUUUGCGCUACAAUGAUAUUUCCCCACUCGAAAACCAUCACUGUGCAGUAGCUUUCCACAUCCUUGCACAGCCAGAAUGCAACAUUUUUGCCAGUGUUGAUCAGGAACCGUUCAAACGGAUACGGCAGGGGAUAAUUACCCUAAUCCUAGCAACAGACAUGGCAAGGCAUGCUGAAAUAUUGGAUUCCUUCAAGGAAAUAUUGGAUAAUUUUGACUAUUCAAAUGAGGAGCAUGUGACCCGGCUAAAAAUGGUACUGAUCAAAUGCUGUGAUAUCUCCAACGAAGUUCGUCCAAUGGAAGUGGCAGAGCCUUGGGUAGAUUGCUUGUUAGAAGAGUACUUCAUGCAGAGUGACCGGGAAAAGUCUGAAGGUCUUCCAGUGGCACCUUUCAUGGACAGAGACAAAGUGACCAAACCUACAGCACAGAUAGGCUUCCUGAAGUUUGUUCUUAUUCCAAUGUUUGAAACUGUAACAAAGAUUUUUCCAGAGGUUGAAGAAGUGAUGCUUCAGCCUCUUUGGGAAUCCAGAGACCGCUAUGAAGAACUAAAGCAAUUAGAUGAUGCUGUGAAAGAGAUCUCGCUCAGGUUGAAUCAGGAAGGCCCCACUCUGAAUUCACAUGUGCACACACUGCCUUGAUACUGCCACCCACAACAAAACUCAUUCCACCUGCAGAUGAAAAAAAUUAGAGAGAAGAUUGGUUCAGAGUGCCUUUGAAAUUAACAAGAGGCAAUACCCAAGCACAACAUAAGUAUACUACUAAGCACCUUGCACUUUACAAGUUACAAAAGAAGAAGAAUGAAAGUUUGACGACAGAAAGCAGGGAGAAAUGAAGAACAAAGUUAAAAGGGCACUUCAAGCACUAUAAUGGACACAAAUACCCUUCAGAGGUUUGCCAAGCCCCUGCUAUGAGGCACUGCAGCUGAGCCUCAUGGGAUUACACGGCGUUGACAAAGGAUGAGGCUGAACAGCUGAUGCUACCACAAGCACUUUUCAAGUUCCUUUUCUAAAGACUCAUAUGUGGAUCCUUGUGGAUGCAAAUAAGGAACUUCUGCAGUUGUACAAUAUUUUUUUUAAUCUUAAAGUCGUCUUCUAAAUAAUAUAUUCUUAUACCAAAAAACAGCUGCUGUAAUUAUUCUCUUUUGUAGGUUUUAUAUGUUUAGAAAUACUGCUUUUGAUUGUUUUAUGGAGACAUAUUGGGGAAAUUUGUACUUUUUAAGAUAGUUGUUUUAGAAAUAUUUAUAUGUAGUGUUGUGUAUUAUUAAAGUAACAACAAUUGGUCUCAUUAUGCCUAUGUAAAUUUAGGAACCAAAUUCUGCCCUAGCUUAUGCCUCUUGUCACUUUGCUGAGGCAUCGGACAAAAACUAAGAGCCAGCUGUCUAAGAAGCUGUCUAAUUUUACCUUUUCUGGUCAACAACUAAGUUCUAGGAGGACCCUUUUGAGAAGUGAGUGGGCAGUAACAGACCACAACUGCAUGCUACCACCAUGCCCCGCCUCCAUUGUGGCCUGCUGCCCAGUCCCAUUGACUUCUCAACAUUCAUCUUUUGCCUCUUGGUUAGUAACUGAGGGGAGAAAUUUGUCCUUCAGGGGGUCAGUCUCAGUGUGGCCUAAGAGAUUCCAUUUAUCUUAGCCCUAAGCAUUGAGAGAAUUUCAAGUAGUCUUGUAGGCCUCAGCCUGCCUGUUGCCUAGGCUACACAGUUCUGAGCAUGUAUGCUGGAUGGAAGACCACCUGGGGACCAUAGCUAAGGUUAUUUGAACUAUUUCAAUGAAGAGCAGGAGGGUUAAGUGUAAUAAAUAACUAAAAUUUCAAGAAAGCCACUAUUUUCACAAGUGCUGCUUUCAUCUAUUUGUUUUGCAUUUCCUCCCGCAUCACAGCUCUUAAUUCAUUUAGAAUGCAGCCUCAUUUAUUGAAUGGCUUGUAGGGUCAUCUAAAGUAGUCAGCUAACCAAAUACUCUUUUAUAAACUAAUAUUAUAUUUUCAAAGAGCAAACUUAGGAAGAAUUGCUUUAGACACUCUAGUGAAAAAUGACAUUUCGAGUGGCUCACAGAUUACAGAGGAGGAACUCAGACAUGAAGAUGGGCAAUUGUUUAUCCAAGAUCCUUCAAAAAGGAUCUUAUGACUUUAACACCAUCAACCAAAUCUCCCUGUAUCUGACAGCUAGACUUCCAAUUUCAGGCUCUCAUAGGGGUCCUGCACCUUCAAGUAUUGCACAAAGACGACUGGAAAUUCCACAUCUGGUGGAAUUUUCUCUUCUGCACAGCUUUUAAUAGUGCAGGAGCUCUCCCGAAGUCUAGACAUGACAGCAUUCAAGAAUGAGUCAAGGGAUAUAUGGCACAGUGCAUUUGAUCUGGUGUGCCUUCCAUUGGAGCAUGUUGCAGAUUUGUGUAUGAACGUUAACCACAAUACCUAGAAUGUGAUGUGGAGCUGGGGAAAGUUGCGAGGGGAAUGUGAUAGGUAUCAGGACCAAGGAGGGGCAGGUUCUGUAGGGCUGCCUAUAAAGUGUUUGAAGACAAGGGAUAUACAAAUGUUGAGGGAAACCCAUCAAAGCAGUCAGAACUGAGGAAGAAACUGCCGCUGCUUCUGUUCUGAACAAAGAAGUGGUUGUGCAAAGAGGGUGCUGUAAAUGUGUGUUGAGUCUCUGGUUUACCAUGGAAGAUGGCAGACUUUGAGAAUGAGGGAGAGAGCCAGGAACAAAAAGUUGGUUGGCAACACUAAUUUUUAGAAUUCCUGACAAGUAUUUCCACUGAAACAGAGGACAUAAUUUGACCCUAAGAUAAGUCAAUUACAAUGAGAACACCAAAAGGGCACAUACAGUAGAAGGGACAGAGAUCUCUUUUCUAUGUUCUCUAUACUAGUUCUCAACCAUGGAUGCAGGGCUUAUCGGGUAACUUGGAUUUGAAAUGGAUGGUCUGGCAGAAAUAAAAUAAAUUUCCCUGCCAUUUGUUCCAAUCAUAUAUGUUUUAAAUUGAGAAUGCACUAGAAUUUAUGCACAGGGUUUUCUUAGGUUGUUUUCUGCGUGGGCUAUAAAUACAGAGUAGCACAUAAGGAAGCUCAGGAAAGCUCGCGUCGCUGUUUGAAGGACACAUGUACCCAAGCCAUAUGCCUACAAGCUGCAGAGCUACUUGCUGAGUCUUAGUUUGGUUUUAAAAAGAAAUGUGUAGGUGGGCGCUCAGACUUUGAUCUAUGCUAAACAGGAAAUAUCUCACAAAACUCAGGCUUCCCUUUUCAGAGGAGCGGAGUGACUAACGCUUGGCUCUCUAGUGCCGAAUAAUAAUCUUGUCAUUUUAAUUGUGACAAGAUGUUUUGCAACUGCAAACCUUUACUCUUCUGUUUAUCUGUGUAUGUUAAUGUUUUUCCUUUGCGAUCGCUCUCCAUUAUAUAUUUUGGUGGAUGACUCAC